AGCUGGGGGUUGGAAAUCAGCACUGUGAGAAAAGACAGAAAUGGCCAUGAUGCGUGCCUCUCUCUAUGAGGAAAAGAAGACAAUUCUACACAAGAUACAACUACAUGGAGUGUCCUCCCACUCCCUCUGGACAUCAUGAAAAAGUCUUGUCUACAUACAGAACUCAUAAGUAGUCUAGACUCAUUUCCAAGGCAAGAGGGUUAAGAUGACCUCUGUAUGAUUAUGCCAUAGUUUCUGAAUUAUAAUUUUUCAAUAUAAGUUUUCUCUUAUUUUGAGGCCAAAAUGGUGGAAUGAAAUUGCUUGAACCCUCUUUCCCUGGGAAGGCAUCCUGAGUACACAUCCGUCCAAUAAAUAAACCUGCAAACCCCGAGCCAGCUGCCUCCUUCCCCAACUUUAAGAACACACAUGGUAUGCACUCACUGAUAAGUGGAUAUUAGCCCAGAAGCUCGGAAUACAAUUUGCAAAACACAUGAAACUCAAGAAGAAGGAAGACCAAAGUGUGGAUAUUUCGAUCCUUCUUAGAAGGGGGAACAAAACACCUAUGGAAGGAGUUACAGAUACAAAGUGUGGAGAGGAGACAGAAGAAAUGAUCAUCCAGAGAUUGAUCAUCAAACCCAGACACUAUUGCAGAUGCCAACAAGUGCUUGCUGACAGGAGCCUGAUAUAGUUGUCUCCUGAGAGACUCUGCCAGUGCCUGACAAAUACAGAAGUGGAUGCUCACAGUCAUCCACUGGACUGAGCAUAGGUUCCCCAAUGAAGGAGCUAGAGAAAGGACCUAAGGAGCUGAAGGAGUUUGCAGCCCCAUUAGGAGUAACAACAAUAUGAACUAACCAUUACCCCCAGAGCUCCCAGGGGCUAAACCACCAACCAAAAAGCACACAUGGUGGGACUCAUGGCUCCAGCUGCAUAUGUAGCAGAGGAUGGCCUAGUGGGUCAUCAAUAGGAGGAGAGGCCCUUGGUCCUGUGAAGGUUCUAUGCCCCAGUGUAGGGGAAUGCCAGGGCCAGGAAGGGGGAGUGGGUGGAUAUGGGAGCAGGAGGAGGGGAAAGGGAUAGGAGAAGGAGGAAGGGAUAGGGGGAGGGUGUUUUUAGGAGGGGAAACCAGGAACUGGGAUAUCAUUUGAAAUGCAAAUAAAGAAACUAUCCAACAACAACAACAACAACAACAACAACAACAACAACAACAAUAGAAGAACAGAGAAGAAUUGAAGGAAGGCCCAAUCCAAUUCAAGGUCAUGAUGACUGGCAAAGUUCUGCCCUCCAAUCCCUCCUACAUUUCUACUCAGGAAAAUGAAGUCCUCACUGGAAGCUAGGUUUUAGCAUUGUCUAUCAAUCCACUCUGCCUUAGGAGAGUGGGCACCUCUGAGUUGACUCUGGCUUCAGAGACCAGAAUCAAGAUUCUGAAGAAAAGGUAGACUUUAUAUGGUAGUUGAAAAUGCCUACUCAUUAUGCUAACUGACAACCUGCUUAAGCUGACUUUGAAUGGGCUUACUAGCAAUGAUUCACAUAAAAUCGUAGUCACAAGUGGCCCCCCAAACCACCUGCCAGUGGAAAACUCUGCGUCAAGACUGAAGCACCCAGACGCAAUGCUGCUGCUCGAGGUGCUGAUGUCACCUGACUGGGAGGGCUGUGACAGGUAGCACAGGGAAGUCUCCCUGGUAGCCAUGGACUGGAGCUGUGACAAGCCAAGGAGCACAUGGGGAAAGCUGUACCUGUUCAUGGCUCUAUCGCGAUAACUGAACUAUGCAUUUUUUUUUUAAUAAUUCUUUAUUUCCUAUUCUAAUUAGAUCUUUGAGAAUUUUGCACGAUGUAUUUGGUCAUAUUUAGUCUUCCCUCAACUCCCUCCAGAUCCAGAUCCUGAUCCACCCGUCAUCCUAACCAAGCCAACUUUGUAUCAUUUCAAAAACACAACAAAAUAAAACAAACAAAAAUAAAAUAAACAUCAAGUACAGUUUGUGCUGUU
ensembl:lincRNA